UGCAGCACUGUUUCCAUUCUACUGCACUUCGGCUUCCAACAAAACUAAGUUGGCAACAUGUGUUGCUUACAGCUGGAUACGUUACGUCAUGUGACUCAUGCCAUCAAUCGUCAUCGAACUGAAAGGAAAAAUACAGAUUGGGGCCGCAUGUGGAAUACUGUUCAACAUCUAUUUUCUUCUGCGAUGCUGCCGGAGUGCUACUACAUUAUUGCUAUCCGGAGGGGCUGUAGUGCAACAAAAGUGGAACAAAAAUAAACCAG